rnacentral:rRNA from 1 species
UCUGNUCUGUCACUGACGCUGAGGCUCGAAAGCGUGGGUAGCGAACAGGAUUAGAUACCCUGGUAGUCCACGCCGUAAACGAUGAGUGCUAGGUGUUAGGCCCUUUCCGGGGCUUAGUGCCGGAGCUAACGCAAUAAGCACUCCGCCUGUGGAGUACGACCGCAAGGUUGAAACUCAAAGGAAUUGACGGGGGCCCGCACGAGCGGUGGAGCAUGUGGUUUAAUUCGAAGCAACGCGAAGAACCUUACCAGGUCUUGACAUCCCGAUGCUAUUCUUAGAGAUAGGAAGUUACUUCGGUACAUCGGAGACAGGUGGUGCAUGGUUGUCGUCAGCUCGUGUCGUGAGAUGUUGGGUUAAGUCCCGCAACGAGCGCAACCCUUAUUGUUAGUUGCCAUCAUUAAGUUGGGCACUCUAGCGAGACUGCCGGUAAUAAACCGGAGGAAGGUGGGGAUGACGUCAAAUCAUCAUGCCCCAUAUGACCUGGGCUACACACGUGCUACAAUGGUCGGUACAACGAGUUGCGAGCCGGUGACGGCAAGCUAAUCUCUGAAAGCCGAUCUCAGUUCGGAUUGGAGGCUGCAACUCGCCUCCAUGAAGUCGGAAUCGCUAGUAAUCGCGGAUCAGCACGCCGCGGUGAAUACGUUCCCGGGCCUUGUACACACCGCCCGUCACACCACGAGAGUUUGUAACACCCGAAGU